GGAGUCGGCCAGACAGUCGCGUCACUCGUAAGAGUGCCGAGGAAAGUCCGGGCUCCAUAGGGCAAGGUGCCAGGUAACGCCUGGGCGGCGCAAGCCGACGGACAGUGCAACAGAAAGAUACCGCCUACGUUCCUUUCGGGGAGCCGGUAAGGGUGAAAUGGUGCGGUAAGAGCGCACCGCGAGUCCGGUAACGGACCGGCACGGCAAACCCCACCUGGAGCAAGACCAAAUAGGGAUCCAUUGGCGUGGCCCGCGCUGGAUCCGGGUAGGUUGCUUGAGCGCUGCGGUGACGUAGCGCCUAGACGAAUGACUGUCCACGACAGAACCCGGCUUAUCGGCCGGCUCCGCCG
rnacentral:RNase_P_RNA from 1 species